CACCGGUACAGUUUUGCGGGGAAGCGAAAGUUGCUAUGGAAUUUUGUCUUCUUCUAAAAACAAGUGUCUGAUACAUGUAGUUGCAGUCUGUCUUUGGAAGUUGUAGAAAUAACAAGAAAGAGGCUGACAUAGUGUUUUGGUAGGGAAAAGUUUGAGUAUGUACAUGUACAGUUGUUUGACCUGUCUUACCCUGUGGCAGUCCAAGAAGAUGUUACCAUUAUGAAAAAUGCUGGAGAACUUGAAGAGAAUGGUUAGUGCAGAAGGGACAUAAAAGUUGUGACAAAAGUAACAGGUAUAAAUAAGAAGUGCUACAAGUGUGUUGUCAUGUGAAAUGAAAUUUACCCCAACUGUGCUGCAAGAUGUAUAUUCAAGUGCGAGACAGCCAUGCACCAGCUGUAAACUGAGGUGGACCCAUAUAAUAAAUAUGUUGACUUUUCUAUGUAUUAUCAUCUGUACAGAAUGUGUUCAUGACAAGACUGUAUUCAUAUAUUGUUAAAUCAUUUUUUAUUUCCAUUAUUGCAUGCAUGUAAGAAGCAAGCAUUUAACAGUUGCAUUCACAGAAGUGUUAAAAUGUGAUCAAUCUAAUUUAAAGAAACACAUUUAAUUGGACUUUUUAAGUUUCAUAGUAUUUGUGGUGGAGACUGACCCAGUCAUUCAGCAACUUAUACUGUCUGUGUGUCAUUUCUUGUAUGUUAUAGUUUUCUUAAUAAAUGUCAAAGUUAUGGUAAGAUGAACUCAUUCAUCACUUGUAGAUUAAUGUUAAAGCAGUUCAACAUUUUACCAUAAGUUAACUAAUAUUCUAUUUAACCAGAGUUGUCACAUAUUUUCAUAUACAUAUUUGUAUAAUACAGUCUAAUCUAAUCUACAUAUGAUGUUCCACAAUUUUUAGUUAUAUUUUAUGUUGAUAUUUUAUGUUGUUUUCAUGUCUCGACAUAUAAUUACUAACAUCAAAGAAACUUAAGUAUUUUACAAUUUGGUUGGUAUAAAUGGUUGUUUUGUUUAUAUAUUUUAUUUUUUUCCAUCCAGGAGAAUAAAGAAAUAUACAUUUCAAAAUAUCUCAUCAUUCCAGAUAAGUACACUACAUAAUCAAGAUAAACGAAAUAAGAACAAAAUAUGUUGGUGGAAUUUUAUUUUCAAAAAUUUGAUAUACAGUCUUUGUAGUAUUUACUUCUUUAGAUAUGUUGGACUGAAAUGGGAAUAACAACAUACUUUAAAUUUUUGUAGUCAUAAGUUAAUAUUGGAAUUAUUAACUUAACUUAAAAAGAUUUUAUCUCACUGUUAUGCCAUCUGAGCUUUAAUAUUUUUCAACAUUGUCAUUGGCAUCAAGGCUCAAAAUUAUUUGUUGUGUAUACCUUGCACUCAUGUGUGAUAAAUGCUUUUAUGGAAUUCUUUAAUAAAAUUUAUGUUUUCAUCUUACCAUGGAUUAAAAAAAAAUAUAAAUUUAUUUGUCUGAAAAUUAAGGUAAAAAUACUGACUGAUUAAACUGCAAUAUAAGAAAGCUUAUUUGAAAUAAAGGGAGGUAAUUCCAUAAAAAAUAUGUAGAAUGUAGAUGAUAAAUGUAAUGAAGGGAGGUAAUAAAACAUUGUGAAGUUA